rnacentral:Y_RNA from 1 species
AGCUGGUCCCCUGUGGUGCUGUUUACAACUCAUUGAUCACAAUCAGUUAGACUUCUUUCCUCCUUUUCUACCCCUACAACUUCAUUUGACUAGCCUUCA